rnacentral:rRNA from 1 species
GACGAACGCUGGCGGCGUGCUUAACACAUGCAAGUCGAACGGAAAGGCCCUGCUUUUGUGGGGUGCUCGAGUGGCGAACGGGUGAGUAACACGUGAGUAACCUGCCCUUGACUUUGGGAUAACUUCAGGAAACUGGGGCUAAUACCGGAUAGGAGCUCCUGCUGCAUGGUGGGGGUUGGAAAGUUUCGGCGGUUGGGGAUGGACUCGCGGCUUAUCAGCUUGUUGGUGGGGUAGUGGCUUACCAAGGCUUUGACGGGUAGCCGGCCUGAGAGGGUGACCGGCCACAUUGGGACUGAGAUACGGCCCAGACUCCUACGGGAGGCAGCAGUGGGGAAUAUUGCACAAUGGGCGGAAGCCUGAUGCAGCGACGCCGCGUGCGGGAUGACGGCCUUCGGGUUGUAAACCGCUUUCGCCUGUGACGAAGCGUGAGUGACGGUAAUGGGUAAAGAAGCACCAGCUAACUACGUG